rnacentral:tRNA from 1 species
GCCCUUGGUGGCUCAGAUUGAUAGAGCGUCUGCUUUGUAAGCAGGAGAUCCAGGGUUCGAGUCCCUGUUGAGGCA